GAGGCAGCUGCUAGCAGCACACAGCUGGCUCUGCACGCACUGUCUGCAGGCUGGGCAGCAAAGCCAGAGAUCUGCGUUCUGCCAUCUUCCCUAACGUGACUCCACUGGGCUGGAAUGCAGAACUCUCCUACACCAUAUUCUGCUAACCUUAUUGCUCAUAGCCUGAAUUCUGAGAGGAACGAAGCCUUUUUCUGCAAGAGCAGCAAUCAUCUUUGGACUUUGGAAGCCACACUGUUGAUCCUGAUAGUAAUUACACUUAUUGCUUCGUCUCCCAGCUAUGGAGGAGGCAGUGUCCUUUAGGAGCCGACCGAAAGUAGACAGGAUAGAGUAGUCAGUCCUCCAAGCAAAGCAGAGCAAACGCUCACAUCAUGGAGACCCUAAGCUGUAGUUCAGACUGCAUAUCCAGCGUGCUAGAAGAGCCUGCUGUCUGGUUCUGAGAGCCCUGAAAGCCGGCUUGGAAGAUGUCUUUCUGAAGAGUAGAAGCAGCAGAGCUGCCUGAUGAAUUAAAGCCAAGGAACAAAAUAGCAUCUUGCUUAAUCACUUCAGCAGAUGUGUGUUUUCAGCACUGUAGUCACCGCACAGUGAGUGUGCUAUCAAAUCAUGUUCCUUAAGCCUCGUCCUUUGAGAGGUGACAAGAGACAGACCAAGAGAUGAACAAAG
ensembl:lncRNA